AUUUAAAUAGUUUAAUUAAAAUAUUGAUUUGUGGAAUCAAAGAUAUAAAUUUUUAUUUUAAAUA
rnacentral:tRNA from 1 species